rnacentral:lncRNA from 1 species
AUGUCUCAAUCUGCACUUCACUCAGAGCCUCUUGGUCCUGGCCACUGUGAGUCCCUGGUCCAGGAUCCAAAGUAACUCAGCAGAAACAAACUUCCAACUAAAAAUCCCCUCGAAUGUCUCCCAGGGAAGAAAUAUAGCUCCUAUAAUUACAGGAGGCUACCGCCGGAGGGGAACGCAGCCCGCAGCCAAAAACCAAGAAAGGAUGGAAAUGGAAAGGAGCCUGAGGAAAAGAAGGUCCAGUGACAGGCCCAAAGUGGGGUCCAGCUGAAGGGGAGGUCCCAAGGCCUGACACUAUACUGAGGCUGUGGAGUGCUCACAAAAAGAGACCUAGCAUGACCGCACUCCAGAAGACCCAACAAGCAGCUGAAAGAGUCAGAGGCAGAUAUUUGUACCUAACCAAUGGACAGAAGCAGUAAACUGUGUUGUUGAACACAUCCCCACUAAAGAUGCACUAUCAGUGAACAGUCUGAAGCUCUACAGUGUGUGCAAAUGGAAAGUUACAGUGAAAAUCUGGGGACUCUUUCUAUAGCCUCAUACAUUAACAGUCUUAGAUCAAGGAAGAAUGCACAUCUUGAAUCCAGGACAACAAAAACAAACUUGAUCAAGUAGUUUCUUGGGAUCAUUCGUUCUGCUCACAAGCCUAGGUUGCUGUUAAAUACAAGAACAACUUUCAUCUCUAUCAACGGGAAGGAAGCUGUUGACCUGAUACCUUUGAGAAACUUGCUGGGCCAGUGAAAGAGAAACAGAGAAAAUAUUUUCUGCAAUUGGUAAACUUGCUGUUUUCAGAAGGUCAAAAGGCAAACAAACACGUGACACAUGUACCUUGUGAAAACCAUGCCACUCUGGCUCCAAACUCCUACAGCAAGUGGUUCUCCAGGGGAAGACUGCCUGCAGGCACUGCAGUGUGUCUGUGGGACUCUAGUCCCCACCCCACCCCCACUCUGAGUUCAUCUGACUAAGUCUGAGGAAAAGAAUGGCUAUGAUGUGGAUCCCAUUUUCAAUGAUUUUUAAAUUGUAUUUAAAAAAGAAAAGAUUUCCUAGUAAUUGAGUAUAUAAAAGUCCUUGAUAUUAAAUUUCUCUUUAAAUAAAAUAUACUUUAAUUGACGUCAAUUUAA